rnacentral:sRNA from 1 species
GGAGAUGCUGUACCAGUGCCAGGGACACAGGAACGUUCUAGAGCUGAUCGAGUUCUUCGAGGAGGAGGACCGCUUCUACCUGGUGUUUGAGAAGAUGCGGGGAGGCUCCAUCCUGAGCCACAUCCACAAGCGCCGGCACUUCAACGAGCUGGAGGCCAGCGUGGUGGUGCAGGACGUGGCCAGUGCCUUGGAUUUUCUGCAUAACAAAGGUGGGUGGUGACCCCGCCCGGAGCCUCCUAGGGCCGCCUGCCAAGGACUCCUGGAAGACCCCCAGCCCCUCACCCCCUCGUGGUUCUGUGGCUUCUCCCCCAGGCAUCGCCCACAGGGACCUAAAGCCGGAAAACAUCCUCUGUGAGCACCCCAACCAGGUCUCCCCCGUGAAGAUCUGUGACUUCGACCUGGGCAGCGGCAUCAAACUCAACGGGGACUGCUCCCCUAUCUCCACCCCGGAGCUGCUUACUCCGUGCGGCUCGGCGGAGUACAUGGCCCCGGAGGUGGUAGAGGCUUUCAGCGAGGAGGCCAGCAUCUACGACAAGCGCUGCGACCUGUGGAGCCUGGGCGUCAUCUUGUACAUCCUGCUCAGCGGCUACCCGCCCUUCGUGGGCCGCUGUGGCAGCGACUGCGGCUGGGACCGCGGCGAGGCCUGCCCUGCCUGCCAGAACAUGCUGUUUGAGAGCAUCCAGGAGGGCAAGUACGAGUUCCCCGACAAGGACUGGGCCCACAUCUCCUGCGCUGCCAAAGACCUCAUCUCCAAGCUGCUCGUCCGUGACGCCAAGCAGAGGCUGAGUGCCGCCCAAGUCCUGCAGCACCCCUGGGUUCAGGGGUGCGCCCCGGAGAACACCUUGCCCACUCCCAUGGUCCUGCAGAGGU